GAUGAACGCUGGCGGCGUGCCUAAUACAUGCAAGUCGAGCGAACAGAUGAGGAGCUUGCUCCUCUGACGUUAGCGGCGGACGGGUGAGUAACACGUGGAUAACCUACCUAUAAGACUGGGAUAACUUCGGGAAGCCGGAGCUAAUACCGGAUAAUAUAUUGAACCGCAUGGUUCAAUAGUGAAAGACGGUUUUGCUGUCACUUAUAGAUGGAUCCGCGCCGCAUUAGCUAGUUGGUAAGGUAACGGCUUACCAAGGCAACGAUGCGUAGCCGACCUGAGAGGGUGAUCGGCCACACUGGAACUGAGACACGGUCCAGACUCCUACGGGAGGCAGCAGUAGGGAAUCUUCCGCAAUGGGCGAAAGCCUGACGGAGCAACGCCGCGUGAGUGAUGAAGGUCUUCGGAUCGUAAAACUCUGUUAUUAGGGAAGAACAAAUAUGUAAGUAACUAUGCACGUCUUGACGGUACCUAAUCAGAAAGCCACGGCUAACUACGUG
rnacentral:rRNA from 1 species